rnacentral:lncRNA from 1 species
AUAUCAACCCUCCCCUAACCUGGGACAGUGGUGUAACAUCAUAAGAACGAACUAUGAAAAUCAGUUGAAAAAGGCUUUACUCAUCAGAUUGAUAAAAAGAAAUGCAUAUAACAUAAACACAGAGUGGACGUGGCUGGGUACUUGUAUAUCCAAACAACAAAAAGACACUUAGUACUGAUCAGAGAGUGUGUACAAAGUUUUGAUUGUCAUAAAAACUUAAAUAUUAUCAAUAAUGAAAUAGGUUACGCUAGGGAAUCCUAAGCAUUCAUUUGUUUUCUUAACAUUUGAAUAUUUUCAAUAAAGGCUAUUUUGAUUCACAAAUUUGGUUUUUAUUCAUGC